AUUGAACGCUGGCGGCAGGCCUAACACAUGCAAGUCGAGCGAGCGGCGGACGGGUGCGUAAUGUAUGGGGACUGCCCGAUAGAGGGGGAUAACUACUGGAAACGGUAGCUAAUACCGCAUACUAUCGGAUAACCCAUAUGGGAUUAGCUAGUAGGUGCGGUAAGGGCUCACCAAGGCAACGAUCCGUAGCUGGUUUGAGAGGACGACCAGCCACACUGGGACUGGGACACGGCCCAGACUCCUACGGAGGCAGCAGUGGGGAAGAGUGCACAAGGGGCGCAAGCCGGAUGCAGCCAUGCCGCGUGUAUGAAGAAGGCCCUAGGGUUGUAAAGGACUUUCAGUCGGGAGGCGUUACCGACAGAAGAAGCACCGGCUAACUCCGUGCCAGCAGCCGCGGUAAUUC
rnacentral:rRNA from 1 species